CUGGAGUCCAUAGUGGGAGAAGAUUUUUCUGCAGCAGACACUCACUCUCCCUGAUCUGCUUCAGUCGACUGCAGGCCUGUCUUUAUCUCCAUUCUUCUCCAAUUUCCACACAAGGACAGACCUGGCAGUCCACAUCAAAAUUGUUCACCAUAUAUAGGGCUUUUACUUUGCUAUAGCAUUCCAGAGCUAAACAUGCAUGGAUCACCAGUUAGAGUGCCCCAAAGUGGAGCUCGAUUCCCUAAGACCAUAGAUUCAGUUAACUGAAACUGAACUCCCUUUACACAGUCUGACAGAUCGACUUUGAGGGCACUUUACUCCUUAUUUUGCACAGCAUCAAGCCCCUCUCUUUUAAGCAAAGUUACACACUAAUAGAUGCUCUUCAACUUUGUCAUAAGCAGUAUGGCCUAAUACCUUAAGAAUCAAGCACCAGAGAGCUCCAAAAUUGAGCCAAACACACAUUUUCAGUGUGCUAAAAUGGGCUAAGUCUGAAUCCAGAUUUAAAACAUUGAAUCUUUGGACCACUGAAUCCAAAUGGUUUUAGUGGUAUUAUCCUUAAUCAAACUUGUACACCAAAGUAUGGACUUCUACUUUGGUACAGAACUUAUAAACCAGAACUAUGAGGAUCAGCCCUUAAGGAGCAUCCCAAAACUGCUUCAGACUGCAAAACCCAGUAGGUCUGAAAUUUGCCCAAGUCUGAUUUUCAAAACUGAACAUUCCAUUUUUGAGCUUCCUUUUCUACCAGUUCCAUAUGGAUUUAGGGUUAGGUGAUUUAAUCAAGUAUGUACGAGGCGCAGCUGAGUUUGGCACUGAAAGGGAACCUGAUGCCCGAGUCUUGUGUUGCGCCCUAGUACCAUCUCCAAGUAUGCGAUGAAUCCGGAUGCUGUUGCCCCAGGUGAGAACUGAUAAUGAUAGUUAGCUUUGGUGAGUUGAGGCAGCAUGAAGGCAUCACACCGUUGAUUUAAUAAAGCUGGAAAACCAAAUCUGUUGUGCUUCCUUAAUUAAUGCUUGCCGUUCAAACCUGCUGCUUUUUUUUUAAUUUCACAGUUGUUUUUAAUAAAUUUUUGUUUGCUACUUGAUACUCUUAUGUAUGCAACUUAAUGGGCUGAUCGUAACUGUGUGUUUGCGGUUCAA